rnacentral:sRNA from 1 species
UAAACGUAUUGAGAUGUUGCGUGUAUUUCGGAUCGAUUUAAACUAGACAGUCAUAAAAAUUUUUGAACAGCAAAACUAUUACGUUAUGCUCAACGCAAAAAAAGUAGUUAACGUUACUGGUUGAAUAAAGAUAAUGCCUUGAGCGGUUCCUGUCCAAUGGCUCCUGUUAACUGAUAUCAGACUGCUGUUUUCAACAUAGUCUGGUAGUGAUUGAGAUUCUAGAUUUAACUAGAAGUGCUAUUUACAAUUGGAACUUCGUUCCCAUAUUCACUGUGUGUGCUGAACUAUAGUACAGACAAGGAUAUUCAUCAUGAGUCCCAUCACAGAUCCCAUAUGAACUAUCCAAGUCUGUUUUUUAAUAAGAGAAGUCUGUUUUUCAGACUUUUUUUUUGUGGUCAUUGAUCCAUGAUAAUACUACCAGACCUACUACUGCUGAAACAUGGUUUUAUUAUUUUGUAUCUGAGCCUGUAUAUUGAAACUAUUAAAUAAAGAUUUUGAUGAUUAAA